GACGUAGGGCGCGAGCGUUGUCCGGAUUUAUUGGGCGUAAAGAGCUCGUAGGCGGUCUGUCGCGUCGGCUGUGAAAACUCGGGGCUCAACCCCGGGUCUGCAUUCGAUACGGGCUGACUAGAGUUCGGUAGGGGAGACUGGAAUUCCUGGUGUAGCGGUGAAAUGCGCAGAUAUCAGGAGGAACACCGGUGGCGAAGGCGGGUCUCUGGGCCGAUACUGACGCUGAGGAGCGAAAGCGUGGGGAGCGAACAGG
rnacentral:rRNA from 1 species